GGCCUGCUGGCCCAAUGGCAAGGCGCUUGACUACGAUUAAAGGAUUUCAUCCAUUAACUCGACAUCAAGAGAUUGCAGGUUCGAUCCCUGCGUAGGUCA
rfam:Botryotinia fuckeliana T4 unplaced genomic scaffold BcT4_SuperContig_O_V3__V4, whole genome shotgun sequence.